UAUAAUUUAUCGAAAUAUAUUGAAAGAUCGAUAUCAUUGUUAUGACAUAUUUUGCCAAAAAUCGAUAAAUAAUUGUAUCGAGUCGUUUUUGUCCUUAUCGAUUUUUGAAGCAGUGUAACGAAUGUUUUAUAAACAACAAGUAGCAUAACGCUGUUUACGCGGUACGGAAAAUCUUCAUUAUUCUGCGAUCAAAUCACAUCAGCUAUCAUAUGGCGAAUCAAAGUUUCGAGAAUGAAGUUGUGGAAGAGGUAUUGGAGGAAUCAAACUGUAAUCAGCCAGUAGUAGUGACACUUCCGAUUGAUGUGUACAACGAGCAAGCGGAUGCAAUCAAAGCGCUACAAGCUGACAUAAGUUUCAUGAAAGAACAGAUCAACAUUCUAAUACAACGAGGAGAAAGGUCGGAAUCGUUAUCGGCUGAAACUCACGAAUAUUUUGAACCGAUUAAAAAGCUUAUGCUCUGAAAUCAAUUAAUGAAUUGCUCGAAUUCGAAGAAUUACUGGGAAACAAAAAUAACGAGAAAAAAUUUAAAAAGUUCCUGGCUUCAUUUGUGCUCUUUAAAAAACCUCUAAAAGAAAUGACAAUGACAUUUAUUGAAAAGGUUUAUCAUCUAGAGCUGCAGACUAAGGUGAAUUACUCAGGUGCUGGGGCUAAACAGGCCCUUAAAAGUUUGUGCUCAACGCAAGUAUUAUUAAAAUCUCUCAUCGAUCAUUCAUUAUAUGACAGCACGGAUGAUCCACCAGCCCUGGCGUGCGCCGAAUUUCGGUAUCAAAUGCAGCACGCAUGUGAUAGGAUCAGGAGUAGUGAGCGCAAGCAGUGUACAACAAACCGAAAGCGAACAACUAGAAAAGCGCUCUCGUCUCUAGAAAAAGAGCCUCGCGAUCCUAACAAUGAAGG